rnacentral:tRNA from 1 species
GUCGGGAUAGCUCAGCUGGUANAGCAAAGGACUGAAAAUC